AGAUGCUGCACCGCGAAUCUCACUCUCCCCGGAGUUUGGAGCUCUUUAAAGGGCUCGGUGCCGCUGCCCCAGUGUUGCAGAGCCAGAGGUGGAUUUGGAGAGAAUGCUGGAACCCGGAAGCAGUGGUGGCCAUAACAGCUCCGUAGAAGUGAAGAAAACAUUUGGAAUUGAUGGCAAUAAAAUAGGGGGAAAAGGGAAAUGAGCUAGCCCGGAGCUCUGUGGGCGCUGGAGCUGGAACCAACGUCCAAUCAAAGAGUGGCGCGGAAGCGCAGCAACGCUAUUGGAUUUGAGAGUAAUCAAUCAUCACUGCACGCAGAAGUCGCCUGAUUGAUUGGGUUAAAUUGAUGAAAGGGGCGGAUCCAUAUUUCAGUAUUAACUGAAUCCCACCAGCUUCACUUCGGUCCAAAAAAAACCCUCUUCGAUUCUUUAGAGCAACCCCUCUUCAGCAUAUCUAUUAGAAUAACUUUCUUCUGCAAAGGACAGUUUUCUUUGUCUUUUGUUGUGCUACACCUGAUUGCUUAAACUGGUUAAAUCCUCACUUUAAGUUGCUUUUAAAACGUGUGUGUAGGAAAAAAAGACAUGUCCAAGAAAGACCCCGGUCAGAUAGCAGGGGGAGGGGGACACAUGAAAUAAAACAUUAUUGACUCAUAAGCUCGAAGGUCCAUUUUUAAAACUUACAGCGAUAUUGCUAAUGUCAAAAAUCGCAACAAGUUGUGAACAAUAACAGCAUGAGACAAUGAAAUAGGUAUGCGAUGGCCCUUCCAUUUCCAAACAUUAAACCAGAAACACGUAUUUGUUUAAAAAUAAUCAAAUAACAUUCCAGCGAUAACAUGUAAUCUACAUAAUUCUGACGGACUCCUGCAGACGACCGGAAAAUAAUUACAGAUCACAAUCCGACUCUCGCAAGUAUUAAAAGAAAUCGAGUGUCUCAGGUAGGAAGUUAUUUUUUUAUUACAGUUCUUGAAAAGAAUAAAACCAUUUAUUCGAAAUCAAAAGACUUAUAGAAAAAUCUUUAAAAAUCUAAUUCAAAAACUAACCAGAACCUAUCCCUCAAAUACACCCACUUUACCCGAGAUAGGAAGCGACUUGCUUUUAGAGUGAAAUGUUAGGUAAUAUGAAAUUGUUCACUUGAAUUUUAUUUGCAGAUGAUUUUUAAAGUUAGUUUGCAGUCUUUUAGGGAGAGAAAACGAGGCGACGGGUAGGGGCAGGGGCUGGGGAACAUAGCGUGCGUGAGCUCUCCGACAGUCGCAGUACAUUGACCAUUAAAUCGCUGCUCGCUGUAACAAUCAACCUUCAUUAAAACGGAUGAAGCAACAAAGUCUGCUUGCAACUAGCAACACUUUGACCAAGUUCCACUACAAUCCUACACAAUCAGUUAGCAGUCCGCUAAACUUUGGGGCAGUUCAAUCGUAACAUCACUGCUCAUUCCAUGAAAUCACAGUGUAAAAUGGGAGAGGGAGCGACAAAUAAACCAGAAUGGAAAUGUUGGAUAUCGCUUCGUUGUAUACGCGACAAUAUCGCACCCCGAUAACGCAGCUGGCUACUUGAACGUGUGCCGAAUACAGCAGGCAAUGUUCGACGUGGUUCAUUCAUAUACACUAAGCUCUAUAUAGAAGAGGUUUUAGUUAAGUUCUAUAAUGUCUGAUUUAUAAAGUGUACCCUUUAAAUUUAUCUUUUGGAAAUCAUAGCAACCAUUUCAAUAUUUGGGAGGUAAUGGUGACUUUUAUAACAGUUUAUCUAUUUACGCAGGUCGUAUUAAAGUCACCAUGCAUGCAAUUUAGAGACCGAUAACCUUCAUUAAAUUAUAUUCUUAACAGUAAUUUUCAUAUGUUAUAGACAUAACCUUUUUCAAAAUAUUAUUUCCCUUCAUCUGUUUAUCCAAUCGGUGAUAAAUCUGGUGUAAAAACCCAUGAAUGGCCAGUUUCUCAAUCUUAUUUCUUAAUAAUCGUCGCCAUUGGAUAAACCUGUAGCCAUUGAAACCGACAAGCCCGAUGGAUAAGUAUUAGUUUUCCUAUCUUGAGCACAUUGGCAUUUUGCUUAUGUGAUGCACUGAAAACUCUCUCUUUCUCUCUCUCUCUCUCUCUCUCUCUCUCUCUCUCUCUCUCUCUCUCUCUCUCUCUCUCUCUCUCUCUCUCUCUCUCUCUCUCUCUCUCUCUCUCUCUCUCUCUCUCUCUCUCUCUCUCUCUCUCUCUCUCUCUCUCUCUCCCUACCUACCUACCUCUCCCUCUCUCCCUGUCUCUGGUGAUUAUAUGCGACGGGUUAGGAAAAAGAUGGGGUAGCUUCUUCAGCACGGAGCAGUAAAGCGCAUACCCGCCGAGGGGGCAGAACCUCACCCGCCCCUUGGUAGUAUCGACCUAAAGUUGGCGUUAUCCCGCUCACAUACCCCCAACCUGCCAAUGUGAGAAUAUUUGUUGGCAGUCGAAAAGGUAGGCGAAGGGUAGAGACGAGGAGAAGGGAGGAGGGGGGUGGGGUACUAGAAAGAGAAAAUCAAGUGAAGUUAAUCAAGGUCGUUAGUUCAGGGGAUAAUGUGGCCAGGGCUUCGAGCAGGUCUAGAGAAUUCACACUGUGAAACAUUGUUAAAGGUUUCCUCUCCCUUGGUCGUGUUUCAAUUGUGCCUGAGCUUUGCUUUCCAGCAAGCAACCUUGACAAACGGGAUAUAUAAAGCCUCCGCACAUCAGCGUAAAGUUUGAUCCCGUUUAGAUCUCCAGCGAUAUCGGCCACGGUUCGCGUUUGUCCCUUUUAUUGACAAGCUUCUUUUCCCUUUAACAUGGAAGCGAGAUUUAAACAAACUUUUGGCCGGCUAGGUUAACGCGACACACUUUUUUAUUUGGUAGAUUUUGAAAGACUGAGUUGCGCUUUGUAUUUGUUUGAAGGAGAUUCUAUGGAUGGGUUGGGGGUGGAGGUUGAAACGUCUCUUUAAACAGAGGACUCCCUUGUCCACUCCCUGUGUCAUCUGGAGGUCAACCUGGGUUACAAGACAGCAAAGAUUCUGCAGCUCCAGUCCGAAAUGGUUUCAGGAACCGGGGGCGACUUUUUCCAAAAAAAUCCAUGUCUCGGCUGUAUCCCCAAGGAUGGCGGUAACUGAACAUUUAGCGCCGCCGCCUUUCGCUUAACGUCCCAUCACUAUUUGAAAAAUAAAAAAGAAGACAUCGUAAUCCAGGAAUAAUAACAAUUUGAAACAAAGAUAUAUCUUUGAGACAAACUGGAAGUUAACAAUUGGCGAAUAAUCCGUGUCUCCAAAUUGUGAGUCGCGAGAGGGUCAAGAUGUCGAUUAAUUUAUUCAUCAAAAAUCGCACUGCUAUUGUAAUGAAUGCAACUUUCACGGGGUAAUUUUGAUUGUGUGUUCAUAAUCGUAGCCGUAACAUUAUUGAAUUCUGACCUUUUCCUUAAAAGAUUAACAAAAGUCAAAAUAGUUCGUGGAAGGUUGGCAGUAUGGGUGCCUUUUGCUAAAUAUUUUGUUAACUACAAUUUACAGCACAGUUCUAUACGUCAAAAUACCACAAAAAUGACAAUAUCCCUUAAACGUGCAGAUUAUCAUUAACUACACAUAAGAAUAUUUUAACCUGAAAUAUGUUAAAAUAUGUUUCAAGCGCCCCAGUGAGGGUUGUGUUUUACUCUGUGAGGAACAUUCCUUCAGGCAACACAGUAUUAAUGAUUCCUGACUGUUUUCAGUAAGAUGACAAGCAAAUGGUUUUCUCCUUUCUUUCUGAAGAUGUUUUAUUUUACGCCUCGCGUUAACUGGGAUAAGUUGUCGGCUCGAUCGCAUUCCUGAUGAUGGAGUGAAGUGUACACAACGUAAUACUUUGUACUUCCAUUCCGCUUAAGCUGAAGUAUUUAAGAACAGCCAAGGCAAAAGUCAAUUCUAUGGAAGGGCAUGUAAACAAAAUUGGUUAAAAUUGCCAUCAACAAAAUUGACGGGCCGCUAUAUAAAGUGUCCGAUCUCGGGUCUAGCAACGGUGGAGAUGGAUCCUUAUCGUUUCCCUCAUCCUCUCUGAAGCUGAAUCUCUUGCGCCGUCUGCAGGGCAUCGGCACAACACCACCAACCCCGAACGUUACUGCACCCCGUCGGCAGGUUCCAAAUAAAACUGGGUGAGAGCCGGCGGUCAGCUUCAACAUCAUGCCCGUUCUAUGUACUUCACCGUCUCGCGGUUACUCUACAAUACCUGUCACGGCACCGAGCUCUUCGCCGUGAAACGUUUGAAGGUGCGAUAUACGUUUAAAAACAAAUAUCACGAAAUCAUCAAAACACUGAAACAAAGACACGGGGAGAUCUUUAGCAACAAUUUGAAUCCCCACUGUAGUUAUGAGGAAUUCAAAGCGACGGUAUAAUAGCUGUCUAGUUUACAUUUAAUUUCCUUGGCGCUUAUUAUUUUUGUUAGAACAAAUUCUUUUCAUCAAUCGAUAUUAAUGCGAUUUGGCAUUGAAUUUACAAUACAAAUUCAGUUUUUGCAUUUGUAAUUUUUAUGUAUCAAUUUUAUGUAUCAAUAUGUAUAAAACAUUGAUUAUUGAUUGAUUGUGGUCACUUAGUUUAAGUAUUGGUGCAAACAUAACCAACAAAUGAUCUGCCGAACUUUCUUUGCUUUCCUGUCUUGUACAGGUGCUGGAGAUUCAUUGUAAAUGGCGCAUUAAUUGAAAAUCUUUCACAUUAAUUAAUUGACGAGUUUCUGAAGUAUUAUAGACCAAAGGAUAAUUACGGGCAGCAAUUUUCAUGAUUUAUAUCACUUCGCAAGUAUCAGUUUGCAUUGCUCAAAUGAGUUCGUAAACUCAAAUUUGCAAAAUGCGUCAAUAUACAUUUUAAUGUCUGUACCUGAAUGUUUAAAAUAAUAAUCACCAAUAAAGUUUUAA